rnacentral:rRNA from 1 species
CCUACGGGAGGCAGCAGUGGGGAAUAUUGCACAAUGGGGGAAACCCUGAUGCCGCGACGCCGCGUGAGUGAAGAAGUAAUUCGUUAUGUAAAGCUCUAUCAGCAGGGAAGAAAAUGCCGGUACCUGAGUAAGAAGCCCCGGCUAACUACGUGCCAGCAGCCGCGGUAAUACGUAGGGGGCAAGCGUUAUCCGGAUUUACCGGGUGGAAAGGGAGCGUAGCCGGCAGUGCAAGUCUGGAGUGAAAGGCGGGGGCUCAACCCCCGGACUGCUCUGGAAACUGUACGGCUGGAGUGCAGGAGAGGUAAGUGGAAUUCCUAGUGUAGCGGUGAAAUGCGUAGAUAUUAGGAGGAACACCAGUGGCGAAGGCGGCUUACUGGACUGUAACUGACGUUGAGGCUCGAAAGCGUGGGGAGCAAACAGGAUUAGAUACCCGAGUAGUC